rnacentral:lncRNA from 10 species
CUGUCACUCUUUAAGCAAAAUAAACAGAUUUUUGAGCAUCAUCUCUUUUUUGGAUCAUCAUUUUGCAAGUGGAGAUUGUGCUUUUUUUUCUGAAGCUUUGGUAGUGUAACUGUAAGAGUCCUGGAAUUGGAAAAGCAAAUCCAGAAGUUGAGUUCCAUGACUUUUUUGCUGUUUGCCUUUGGACUUGCAUCAUUUAUAUUUUUAAUUCAUCGAGGAUGAGAAAAUUGAUUAACACAAAAUCUUUUCAUGUCUUUUCUGAUGAGAGACUAGCUGAAUCCAAGAAGAGAAGCCCUUGAAGAGUGUAUUCUAUUCUAGACAAGCAUUCACACAUUGGCUUCUUUGGUGCCAGCAUGUUUCUGAUCAGCAUGAAAACUGCGCAGGAGCUUUUCUGUCUUGCAGAGCUAGUUAAUGAGAUUGUUGCUGCCUUCAGAUUCUAUAAAGGACUUCUCCAAUAUUGGAUUAAAGAAUGAAGAAAGGAUCAAAUUGAGACAUCCAGGGGGGAAGAGUUCCCUGGCAAAACUCCAAUCUGCCUGAGCACUGAGGUGGAGCCACAGAAGUCCGGGUCAUUUGCACCUGGGAGGAGCCUGGCCCCUCCUCUUCCUGUGUGGAAUCUGGGAUUUAAUCUGUGAGGAGGGAAGGCCAAGGGCAGGAAGCACAGGCUCUCACUUCACUAAGAGUCUCUGUUUCCCCUUUUUUUCCUUUAUGCCUAAUUAAUAAAUCCCAUUUUUCUCACUCUUCAAA